rnacentral:rRNA from 1 species
GACGUAGGUGGCGAACGUUAUCCGGAAUUACUGGGCGUAAAGCGUGCGCAGGCGGUUUUGUAAGCCAGAUGUGAAAUCCCCGGGCUUAACCUGGGAAUGGCAUUUGGGACUGCAAGGCUCGAGUGCGGCAGAGGAGACUGGAAUUCCGGGUGUAGCGGUGGAAUGCGUAGAGAUCCGGAAGAACACCGGUGGCGAAGGCGGCCUGCUGGGCAGUUUAGCUGACACUGAGGCGCGACAGCGUGGGGAGCAAACAGG